UACGUAGGGUGCAAGCGUUGUCCGGAAUUAUUGGGCGUAAAGAGCUCGUAGGCGGUCUGUCGCGUCGGCUGUGAAAACCCGAGGCUCAACUGUGGGCUUGCAGCUGAUACGGGCAGGCUUGAGUUCGGUAGGGGAGACUGGAAUUCCUGGUGUAGCGGUGAAAUGCGCAGAUAUCAGGAGGAACACCGGUGGCGAAGGCGGGUCUCUGGGCCGAUACUGACGCUGAGGAGCGAAAGCGUGGGGAGCGAACAGG
rnacentral:rRNA from 1 species